GAUGAAGAACGCAGUGAAAUGCGAUAAGUAAUGUGAAUUGCAGAAUUCAGUGAAUCAUCGAAUCUUUGAACGCACAUUGCGCCCUCUGGUAUUCCGGGGGGCAUGCCUGUUCGAGCGUCAUUAUAACCACUCAAGCUCUCGCUUGGUAUUGGGGUUCGCGGUUCCGCGGCCCCUAAAAUCAGUGGCGGUGCCUGUCGGCUCUACGCGUAGUAAUACUCCUCGCGAUUGAGUCCGGUAGGUCUACUUGCCAGCAACCCCCAAUUUUUACAGGUUGACCUCGGAUCAGGUAGGGAUACCCGCUGAACUUAAGCAUAUCAAUAAGCGGAGGA
rnacentral:misc_RNA from 1 species